rnacentral:rRNA from 1 species
AACGAACGCUGGCGGCAGGCUUAACACAUGCAAGUCGAGCGCCCCGCAAGGGGAGCGGCAGACGGGUGAGUAACGCGUGGGAAUCUACCCAACCCUACGGAAUAACGCAUGGAAACGUGUGCUAAUACCGCAUACGCCCUACGGGGGAAAGAUUUAUCGGGGAAGGAUUGGCCCGGGUUGGAUUAGCUAGUUGGUGGGGUAAAUGCCUACCAAGGCGACGAUCCAUAGCUGGUGUGAGAGGAUGAUCAGCCACAUUGGGACUGAGACACGGCCCAAACUCCUACGGGAGGCAGCAGUGGGGAAUAUUGGACAAUGGGCGCAAGCCUGAUCCAGCCAUGCCGCGUGAGUGAUGAAGGCCUUAGGGUUGUAAAGCUCUUUCACCGGAGAAGAUAAUGACGGUAUCCGGAGAAGAAGCCCCGGCUAACUUCGUGCCAGCAGCCGCCGUAA